AGGACGAACGCUGGCGGCGUGCCUAAUACAUGCAAGUCGAACGGCUUUUCUAUGGAAGCUUGCUUCCACUGAGAAGAUAGUGGCGAACGGGUGAGUAACACGUGGGGUAACCUGCCCAUAAGAGGGGGAUAACAUCCGGAAACGGGUGCUAAUACCGCAUAGUUUUCUUGAUCGCAUGAUCGGGAAAGGAAAGACGGCCUUUGUGCUGUCGCUUAUGGAUGGACCCGCGGCGUAUUAGUUAGUUGGUGAGGUAACGGCUCACCAAGACGAUGAUACGUAGCCGACCUGAGAGGGUGAUCGGCCACAUUGGGACUGAGACACGGCCCAAACUCCUACGGGAGGCAGCAGUAGGGAAUCUUCCGCAAUGGACGAAAGUCUGACGGAGCAACGCCGCGUGAGUGAAAGAAGGUUUUCGGAUCGUAAAACUCUGUUGUCAGAGAAGAACAAGUUGGAGAGUAACUGCUCCAGCCUUGACGGUAUCUGACCAGAAAGCCACGGCUAACUACGUGCCAGCCGCGGC
rnacentral:rRNA from 1 species